rnacentral:misc_RNA from 1 species
AAAAGGCAAAAUGCAAUACCAAAUGAAAUUAUACAUCUGUGUGUUCUCAGGGUAUACAAUUACAAAGCAAAAAGGAAACGAUGACCCAAAACUAUUUCUGCAAUGGAUCUGAUUCUGGAUUCACAAUUCCUGUAUGUUCGGAAGCCAAAAAUUACAAGCAAACCCUGCAACAUAUAUAUAUAUAUAUGUUCGUUCCAAAGGCACCCUUUCUCUUUUGCUCAAGUGGUCAUUUCCCCUCAAUGCUU